AUUGAACGCUGGCGGCAGGCUUAACACAUGCAAGUCGAACGAGUGGCGGACGGGUGAGUAAUGCUUGGGAAUCUAGCUUAUGGAGGGGGAUAACUACGGGAAACUGUCGCUAAUACCGCGUACCAUAGGAUGAGCCCAAGUGGGAUUAGGUAGUUGGUGAGGUAAAGGCUCACCAAGCCGACGAUCUCUAGCUGGUCUGAGAGGAUGACCAGGCACACGGGGACUGAGACACGGGCCAGAAGCCUACGGGAGGCAGCAGGGGGGAAUAUUGCGCAAUGGGGGCAACCUGACGCAGCCAUGCCGCGUGAAUGAAGAAGGCCGUCGGGUUGGAAAGGUAUUUCGGGAGGGAGGCGUUAACUACAGAAGAAGCACCGGCUAACUACGUGCCAGCAGCCGCGGUAAUUC
rnacentral:rRNA from 1 species